rnacentral:misc_RNA from 1 species
GAUGAAGAACGCAGCGAAAUGCGAUACUUGGUGUGAAUUGCAGAAUCCCGUGAACCAUCGAGUCUUUGAACGCAAGUUGCGCCUCAAGCCAUUAGGUUGAGGGCACGUCUGCCUGGGCGUCACAUAUCGUUGCCUGAUGCCAGUUUCCUCGUGAUGGGUGACUGUGCAGGGCGAAUGAUGGCUUCCCGUGAGCAUUGUUGCCUCAUGGUUGGUUGAAAAUUGAGUCCUUGGUAGGGAGCGCCGUGAUAGAUGGUGGUUGAGUGACGAACGAGACCCAAUCAUGUGAGACCCCUACCGAAUUUGGCCUUCAUGACCCACAUGCGUCUUUGGAACGCUCAUGACGAGACCUCAGGUCAGGCGGGGCUACCCGCUGAGUUCAAGCAUAUCAAUAAGCGGAGGA